AUGACUCCGUCCCUUCUCCUCUGUUCCAAUUCAACUUUCUUGUUAACACAACCUAAAGUCUCCCUCUACCAAACGAGAGAAAAAAAAGUCAUAAAAAAGAAGAAGAUUGAAGAUUACCUAUUGAAGACACGUCGCUGGUGUUUCAGAAAUCCAGAGAGCGAAAAUGAUGACAAUUAUGAAGGUUAUCGCAAGUUGAGAAAAAUGAACUUUGUAUGA